rnacentral:rRNA from 1 species
GGGGGGGGGGGGGGGGGGGGGGAGGGGAGGGGGGGGGGGGGGGGGGGGGAGGGGGUUGCGGCGGGGGCGGGAGGGGCGGACGGGGGAGUGAAGCGUGGGUAACCUACCUAUGAGACUGGGCUAACUUAGGGAAACCGGAGCUAAUAACGGAUCAUAUAUUGAGCGGCAUGGUUCAAUAGUGAAAGACGGUUUUGCGGUGGUUUAUAGAUUGACCCGGUCGGCAUUAGCUAGUUGGUAAGGUAACGGCUUACCAAGGCAGCGAUGCGUAGCCGGCCUGACAGGGUUAUCGGCCACACUGGAACGGAGACACGGUCCAUACGCCUACGGGAGGCAGCAGUAGGGAAUCUUACGCAAUGGGCGAAAGCCUGACGGAUCAACGCCGCGUGAUUGAUGAAGGUCUUCGGAUCGUAAAACUCUGUUAUUAGGGAAGAACAAAUGUGUAAGUAACUAUGCACGUCCUGACGGUACCUAAUCAGAAAGCCACGGAUAACUACGU